CACCAUAAUACUUGCAUAGUUGUGAUUUCUGUGGGAAAAGCAAGUCUUAUGGUUUGACUGGUGUGCAGAUUUUUGUUUAACAUUCUAUUAACUAUCCACAGACUUCAGGUGGAAGGGGUUUUCAAGCACACUUUUUCCCCACCAUAACCUUUUUGGAUUUUGCUUCCCAAGCACCACCAAGCCUCAAUAGCAAACCAGUAACCAACCUGCUGAUGAGUUGCAUUAACAAUGAAACAGCUGUCCAUGAGUGGUUCACUGGCUUUGCAUCUUUUUCUAAGUUGUGUUUCAAAGCUGUUCUAUACAGCAAACACAGACUCAAAGGAAUCCAUGUUUAAAAUGGAAUGAGGCAAAAAUGUGAUUCUUUGUUAAACUAAUUUGCAUAUGCCCACCCAGAAUCCUUUGCGGUAGUAACAUCACUGCAGGUUUAGGAUUUAUGUGGGAAAAGCAAAUCUGAUGGCUUGACUGGUGUGCAGAUUUUUGUUUAAC